UCGGAAGGUGGAAGUUAGGCUCAUGGAGAAACUUCCCGCGGACAUUCUGCUCAGCAAUGCCUUGGGCUACCUCACCUCCACCCAUUACAAACACCGAGCAGAGCUAUCCUGUGACAACAAGGCAAUAAGCCCACACCACCCAAGACGGCUAACACUCUGAGGCUCAGGUAGGCACAUGUGCCCCUUCCCGCACCCCAAUUUCCCGCAGAUGACCACGUAAGCAAG